rnacentral:rRNA from 1 species
GACAGAGGGUGCAAACGUUGUUCGGAAUUACUGGGCGUAAAGCGCGUGUAGGCGGCUAAGUAAGUCGGGCGUGAAAUCCCACGGCUCAACCGUGGAAGUGCACUCGAAACUGCAUAGCUAGAGUCCUGGAGAGGAAGGUGGAAUGCUUGGUGUAGAGGUGAAAUUCGUAGAUAUCAAGCGGAACACCGGUGGCGAAGGCGGCCUUCUGGACAGUGACUGACGCUGAGACGCGAAAGCGUGGGAGCAAACAGG